rnacentral:rRNA from 1 species
UUGGGACGGAAUAACCCUGGGAACUGGGGCUAAUAUUCAAUAGAUGGAAACGCCUGGAAUGGCCUUCCGUCGAAAAGCCCUUGGAAACAUGCUUCCAAGAGCGCCUAAGGAUGAGACUGCGUCCGAUCAGGCUGUUGGUGGGGUAACGGCCCACCAAACCUAUAACCGGUACGGGCCCUGAGAGGGGGAGCCCGGAGAUGGGAACUGAGACAAGGUCCCAGGCCCUACGGGGCGCAGCAGGCGCGAAAACUCCACAAUGCGCGAAAGCGUGAUGGGGUUACCCCGAGUGCCGUCCGAUGAGGAUGGCUUUUCCCCAGUGUAAGGAGCUGGGGGAAUAAAGGGGGGGCAAGACUGGUGUCAGCCGCCGCGGUAAUACCAGCCCCCUGAGUGAUAGGGACGAUUAUUUAGCCUAAAGCGUCCGUAGCCGGCUUAGUAAGUCUUUCGUCAAAUCUGACGGCUUAACCGUUAGGCCGCGGAAGAUACUGCUAGGCUAGAGGGCGGGAGAGGUUGACGGUAUUCCUGGGGUAGGGGUGAAAUCCUAUAAUCCCAGGAGGACCACCAGUGGCGAAGGCGGUCAACUAGAACGCGCCUGACGGUGAGGGACGAAAGCUGGGGGAGCGAACCGGAUUAGACACCCGGGUAGUCCCAGCUGUAAACGAUGCGGGCUAGGUGUUGGGGCAGCUACGAGCUACUCCAGUGCCGCAGAGAAGUUGUUAAGCCCGCCGCUUGGGAAGUACGGCCGCAAGGCUGAAACUUAAAGGAAUUGGCGGGGGAGCAC